CAGUCGCCACGGGAAUGCGUAGGGUGCAAGCGUUAAUCGGAAUUACUGGGCAUAAAGCGUGCGCAGGCGGUUCUAUAAGACAGAUGUGAAAUCCCCGGGCUCAACCUGGGAACUGCAUUUGUGACUGUAGAGCUGGAGUGCGGCAGAGGGGGAUGGAAUUCCGCGUGUAGCAGUGAAAUGCGUAGAUAUGCGGAGGAACACCGAUGGCGAAGGCAAUCCCCUGGGCCUGCGCUGACGCUCAUGCACGAAAGCGUGGGGAGCAAACAGGAUUAGAUACCCGAGUAGUCCCUGUCUCUUAUAC
rnacentral:rRNA from 1 species